CAGUAGAUCAGUUUCCAUUUCACUGCUGCGGCCAUCGGAUCAUCCUUUACUCUGAAAUGACAAGUGUCUGAAUCACUGGGCGCUGCACUGCGGAUGACAUAUGGAGGCAGGGAGAGCCAGCGACACGCAGCCGACAAUCGAUUAAUCAGCGGAAAAUAAUAAGAAACACGUUCGCCCCUUCCCCGCCUGGGAGUUCUGCCGGGAGAUGCAACUGCAGGCGGGUCGGAAUUGGAUUUGGAAUCGGAAUCGGAGUCCCUGAAUGCGGAACUGAUGUUGCUCGGGGCCCUCAAAAAAUGGGCAACUUCAACAUUUCGGGCAGCCGAAUAAAUAAGGAGCAGCCAAAGGGGCAACGUUAUGACAAAAAUUCUAAGAUGAAUAAAGCUUUGAGUCCGAGUUGG